GUCACAUUCGCACAGAGUCUCCAGUUGAAUUCCGUGGACGAACGUGACGGUGCGUUUGAUUAAUCUGCUUCCAUCCAACCUGAAAUAUGAAGUGUUUCGACUUUCACACACCAAGUUAUGACUUUGAAGCGGGCUGAAAACAUUUUACGGUGUUGUUCUGAAAAUCCUGCAGACCUUUCCAGCGAGGCUCAGCCUGCGGUGGCUCUGUCCUUUCCUGUUGUGUCUGCUAGAGAAAUGUGAGGCUGUUUGAGGCCCUGCUGUGACCCAUCAUGGCAGGGUUAUAGGUGGCUGGAUUGUGCAUUAAUCCACAGGAGCAGUGCAUGAAGGCUGGCCGCUGCCAUCAAUGGCGUAUGGGUCACCAGAUGUAACCAUGGCGGCUGGCUUCUUCAGCAAUGACUCAUAAGGAGUAGCACAUGAAUAUGGGCAGCUGCCAUCUUCAGUUCCUCUAUGGCGCGUGGACCACGAGUUGCAAAUAAGAUGCCAAGUGGCUGUCUCACACGUUCACCUGGACAUCUCUUAACUGUACACGGCGCUGCUUCCAGAGGAAAGCUCUCCAGUCAUCGUGCGGAUGGUUGUUGUUGCUCAAAGCGCCAGAGAUUUAAGAGUCUGACUUCACAGAUUGGACGAAAUCUGCAGAGAACAAAAGAGCCGGAGAACCAGUUGAUCGAGCAAAAGAAAUAAAGAUUAAAAUAUUAUUUUUAUUGCACUGCUUUAGUAAUGUACAGGUUGACUGUCGUUUGAAGCACUUGUUGGUUAAGUUGACUUGCAGAUUUUGUGGUUUAAUGUGGAAAGAAUCUGUGACACUAAAGAAACUAGAAAAAUGUAUUGCACAGAGAUAAAUCGAUUAUAAUCUGUUACAAAUUUAAACACAUGAAAGUGUUUGACCAGCUGAAAUUAAUACUAGAGAAACAUUAAAAUAAAAUAAUGAAAAUGGA